rnacentral:siRNA from 1 species
UAACGGCGUGCCUCGGCAU